UACGUAGGGUGCAAGCGUUAAUCGGAAUUACUGGGCGUAAAGCGUGCGCAGGCGGUUAUGCAAGACAGAUGUGAAAUCCCCGGGCUUAACCUGGGAACUGCGCUUCUAACUGGCAGGCUUGAGUGUGGCAGAGGGGGGUGGAAUUCCACGUGUAGCAGUGAAAUGCGUAGAGAUGUGGAGGAACACCGAUGGCGAAGGCAGCCCCCUGGGCUAACACUGACGCUCAUGCACGAAAGCGUGGGGAGCAAACAGG
rnacentral:rRNA from 1 species